AAAGGAUAGGGAUAUUUUCUCUUUGGCUCUCCCUCCUCCACUCUCUAAUAGCUGUCCCUCAUCCUCCACAAUCUGAAUUGAGCUCUAUUUUCUCCUUCACCUCGGGAGCAUUUUCCAUGGCGAAAACCCUAAUUUCAUCUCCGUCGUUCAUCGGAACUCCUUUGCCGUCGUUCUCUCGCCAUGUCUUCCACCGGCGAAGGCUUAUUUCAACUAGAGUAAAAUUCAGCUUCCAUGAGCUUCCUCCGAUUCAAUCUCUUCACUCUUCGGUUGAUUUCAACGCUGUUAUUAGCCGAGCCGAAGGACUUCUCUAUACGUUAGCUGAUGCCGCUGUGGCUGCUGAUCCUGGUGUUGCCUCCGAUGCCACUGCUGCUACUCCUCAGAAAGCCGGUGGUUGGUUCGCUUUCAUUUCUGACGCUAUGGAAGUCGUUUUGAAGGUAAUGAAGGAUGGACUGGCAGCUGUGCAUGUGCCUUAUUCUUAUGGAUUUGCAAUCAUAUUGCUUACUGUCCUGGUUAAAGCUGUCACUUUCCCUUUGACAAAGCAACAGGUUGAAUCAACACUAGCAAUGCAAAAUCUCCAACCAAAGAUCAAAGCUAUUCAGCAACGAUAUGCUGGAAAUCAGGAAAGAAUCCAACUUGAGACUUCGCGUUUAUAUAAGCAGGCAGGGGUCAAUCCUCUUGCUGGAUGUUUCCCAACUUUGGCUACUAUACCAGUUUGGAUUGGUCUCUAUCAAGCUCUCUCUAAUGUGGCAAAUGAGGGAUUGCUGACUGAAGGUUUCUUUUGGAUUCCUUCUUUGGGAGGACCGACUACUAUAGCUGCUCGACAAAGUGGAUCUGGAGUUUCUUGGCUAUUCCCGUUUGUGGAUGGGCAUCCGCCUUUGGGUUGGCAUGACACAGUGGCUUACCUUGUUUUGCCUGUCCUGCUAAUUGUUUCGCAAUAUGUUUCAAUGGAGAUAAUGAAACCUCCCCAAACAGAUGAUCCAACUCAAAAGAACACGCUUCUGGUUUUCAAGUUCCUUCCGCUCAUGAUUGGCUAUUUCUCUUUGUCUGUUCCUUCAGGGUUAACAAUUUACUGGUUCACAAAUAAUGUGCUGACCACGGCACAGCAAGUAUGGUUGCGCAAGUUAGGUGGUGCAACGCCUGUUGUGAGUGGAGAUGCCAGUGGUAUCAUCAGCGCUGGACGUGCAAAAAGAACUACCUCUCAGUCUGAGCAAGCUGGAGAGAGAUUCAGGCAGCUAAAAGAAGGUGAAAAGAAGAAAAAGUCAACCAAGGCACUCCCUACAGAUAAGGUUGGAAUAUCAGCCUCUACAUCUGAUUCCGAGGACGAAGCAGAUGAUGAGAUCAAGCCCAAGGAUGAAGAAGUUCUAGAAGAGGCUUAUGCUUCUAGCAGUAGUAAAGAAGUUCCAAAUUAUUCAGGUCCAAGGAAGAGUAAAAGAUCAAAAAGGAAGCGUGCAGUAUAAAGUGGUAAACCAAUUCUUUAGCUGUCAGUUUAACUUGUAUAUUUGACAAAUCUGUAUCUUAGUCAGUUGUAUAGUGUCCAUUUUCAUGCCGGUCAUCUAUUUAAGGGCUAUUUGCCAAAAGAUGAGAACAUGACAAGUAUGCAAAUGGUGAAUUCAUGUGCUUUCAAGUUUAAGCACCAGCUUAGCAAGCAAAAGCUAAAUCUACCAUAUUCCCUUCAUGCGUAGCAUGUGGGCUUUCUUGUAUCAAUUCUCCUGCAAACAAAAACCAUAGCUUCAGCCGACAAUAAGUGUGUUAGAUGAGAGGUUUAUCAAAGCCUGCAGUAUGAUGAUAACACGAUAGAAUCUUAAGCACUGGGCCAAAGGUUUCCUCUAUUCCUCAUUGGUUACCAUAAUCUUCACCCUGGACUCUGCAUCAAUGAUGCGUGCAUAUGGAAGUUGUUUUCUUUGCUUACAAGAUCGUUCUUCUGGUCAUGGCCUUGAUGGUGCGGGAUGAUUGCUAGUUGGGUUUGGCCCAGUGGUGGUGUAUGGACUUGUGUGUUGCCCUGCUUCACAACGGUUUGAUUAGAGACUACACGCAUAAACUAUAGCAGAAGAGAGACAACAUACUUUAGUUGGCAAUUUAGCUUGUAUAUUUGAUAAAUCUGUAUCUUAGUCUGUGUAUAGUGGCCAUUUUCAUGCCGGUCAGCUAUUUAAGGACUGUUUGCUAACUGAAGAAAGCCUGAUGAGUUGGCAAAUUUUUUUGGAUUUAUUCAGGCUCUUUCAAGUGUAACCACGAGCUUAGCUAAGAAAAGCUGAAUUAUACCAUAUUCUUUAAUGUGUA